GUUCUUGUAGUUGAAUUACAGCAAUAGUUUUUCGUGCUAUCGGUUUAGGUUGAAGUCCUGACAGGAAUA
rnacentral:tRNA from 1 species